GACGAAGGAUGCAAGCGUUAUCCGGAUUCAUUGGGUUUAAAGGGAGCGUAGGUGUCCUUAUAAGUCAGUGGUGAAAUCUCUGGGCUUAACCCAGAAAUUGCCAUUGACACUGUAGGGCUUGAGUAUAGAUGCCGUUGGCGGAAUAUGACAUGUAGUGGUGAAAUACAUAGAGAUGUCAUAGAACACCGAUUGCGAAGGCAGCUAACGAAACUAUAACUGACACCGAGGCUCGAAAGUGUGGGGAUCAAACAGG
rnacentral:rRNA from 1 species